UCACAUCUUCAUUAUUGAUUUUUAGUAACUUUUUACACAAUACUACAAUUUGGUAUACACGGUUAUGCAGAAAAUGUAUGAGAGCUUUUUAUUUUCAGUUGGAAUUUCGUUUUUAACAAUGCUACCAACCAGACGUACAAGCUUAGGCCGCAGAACUCGAAAUACGGCAAGUCAAAGAAAUAUAAGAGCAAAUCAAACUGAUGAGCAUCGCGAAGCGCGAAAUGAACUUAAACUGAAUCGAUAUCAAGAUAGAAAUGUUGUGUUUAAUCCCCACAAAGCUGCAUUCAGUUAUAAUGUGGCAAUUGAUUACAGUUCAGAGCAAAUUGUUGCUAUUGGACUAAUGAACAUUGUGUGUCCACAUUGGGAUUGAAAUUAAAAAAUUAAGCCUCUGGAUUGUGUUGCGCCAGCGGCCAAGUCAAAUUGACGCCAUUGGUACCGCCACCAGAGCCACUACAUUCAUUGGUUCAUUUUUUGACUCAUAACCAGCAGUACAAUAAUUGCUUUCAAAUGGCAUCAUUUGGGGCAACAAAAGUUAUAAGAGACAAUUUUUUGCCUACUUUUAGCAAAUUCAGGGAUUCAAAUAUAUCAUCAAACAGGUUCCUUAUUGCCAGUGCCUGUUGAAGACUAUACAUUUUUGCAAAUAUAUUUUAUGGACAAUUCAGCAAGAGAAGUCGAUCAGCGUUGCGCACACAACAACUCAGUAAAGAGAUCCAUUGUGAUGAACAACUUCAAACAUUUUUCCUUCAACACAAUGAAUUAGUUGCAUUAGACCGAUGCAUUAGACAUUCACAAAUGCAUUAGACCGCAUGCCAUCAGAUAAUCACAAAAUUGUCAUCAGAGCCGAUAAGGCGCCUGCAGGACAGUGAAAUGAUUGAAUCCAAUGAAAUAAACACUAUUAUGAAAAUA